GACGAACCGUCCGAACGUUAUUCGGAAUCACUGGGCUUAAAGGGUGCGUAGGCGGCGCGGAAAGUUGGGUGUGAAAUCCCUCGGCUUAACCGAGGAACUGCGCCCAAAACUACCGUGCUCGAGGGAGAUAGAGGUGAGCGGAACUUAGGGUGGAGCGGUGAAAUGCGUUGAUAUCCUAAGGAACACCGGUGGCGAAAGCGGCUCACUGGAUCUCUUCUGACGCUGAGGCACGAAGGCCAGGGGAGCAAACGGG
rnacentral:rRNA from 1 species